CAUAGCCAAUGAGUGUUCUGCCCUCUCCCUUUUUCCUUCCUGUCAUAAGCCUGGUAAUAUCCCAGAAAGGGAUUUCUCCAUCAGCCUAGAUCCCAGAAUGAAGAUUAGGUAGAAUCAAAGAGCCAAGAGCCUCAGCCAACGAUGAAGGGUUUCCACGGCAACAGUGGCAGCAAUUCAAAGGAAGACGUUGGAGAAUUCACAUGCUAUUUUAGCUGGCUCUGUGAUUGCAAUCACACAAAUCAUUACAUUCCAGCGAGAUCCCAUCAACAGAAGGUUUUUCCAUUUCAGUCUGUCAAGCAAAGCCCAGAGUCUUCCCUGGAGAAGAGUGCUGAUGACGAGGAUUCAUGUCUCACAACCCAGCACACAGGAAUGAUGUCACACAGAAUUUGACUUGGGGAAGAAGAAGAAAAGAAGGUGGAUUUCAGCAUGAAAGAAUCUAAACAGUCAUUAGUGAACAAAUGUGUAGCAGUGCUGUCCAACAGAACUUUCUGAAGAAGUAAUGGGAAUACUCUGUAUCUGUGAUGUCCUGUAUGGUAGCCACUGGCCUCACACAGCUCUUGAGCACUUGAAAUGUGGCUACUGUGACUGAGUAAUUGAGUUUUAAAAUUUCAUCAAUUUUAAUUAAUUGAAAUUUAAAUAGCCACAUGAGGCCAGUGACUACAGAAUUGAACAGCACAGGUCUCACAGAUGGACUAAGAGUAAGCCAGUUACGAAGAAGCUUAUACAGGAAGACCGGCUAAAAUAUGUCAAAGGAGAGUUUCUCUUUCUGAACUCCGAGGAGCUGUUCAAAUAAGACUGGUCUGGAGAGAGUUUUGGGUGGCUGGAGGUAUUUUCACCCCUCCACUUACUGUGCCUAACCUUAGUAUUGUUGCCAUUCUCACGUUUCUGUAUGACUCCAUCUCCCUUGUUCUGUUCCGAUGCCGCUUUUUCAGUUUUUCUGAGCUCUCAAUUAAACACAGUGAAAUGAAUCUCCUCCAAGUGCCUUUUUAGUGACUAAACUGAAUAGUUGGCUCAGAAUGCUACAAAGUCCUCUCCCUCAGGAAGAACCAAGUUUUACCAUUAAGAUCCUGAUAGAUUUACCAGCUUUAACUGACACCUCUUGGGGUGGCUUCCAGAUUCACACUUUCUCCUUUUUGAGAAGACUCCCAGACACACGGGGAUAGGUCCUGAGUGAUCAUAUUUGAGCCACACAAUCUUGUUACGCUUGCUGUAGAUCCAUGGUUCAAAAACAUUCAAGUGUGUCUGACUCAGCUGGAGGACUUGUGAAGACACAUGUGGUGGGACCCAUCCCUAAAGCUUCUUUUCCAGUAGGUGUGUAGGUGUGGCCCAAGUAUCUGCAUAUCUAACAAGUUCUCAGGUGAUACUGAUGUUGCUGGUCUGGGGAUUGUACUUUAAGAUAAUUAAGUCAGGGACUGUUGCCUGACAUAGGACAAUAAGCUUCUCUCAGGAAUUUGAAAUUUGGAACAAAGAGCUCGGAGUCUUAGUGCUAGUAGACCAGUGCUCUGGAGAGGUCUGAAAACUACCACUGCUUAGGUUCCUAGUUUGUCCAGUUCCUGUUUGUCUUGAGCCUUGGUUGUCUAAUCCUUUGAAUAAAUCCCAUUACAUUCUUUGUUUUGCAUAAACUGGCCAUAGAAAGUUCUUGUUGUCUGCCC
rnacentral:lncRNA from 10 species